GAUGAACGCUGGCGGCGUGCCUAAUACAUGCAAGUCGAGCGAACGGACGAGAAGCUUGCUUCUCUGAUGUUAGCGGCGGACGGGUGAGUAACACGUGGAUAACCUACCUAUAAGACUGGGAUAACUUCGGGAAACCGGAGCUAAUACCGGAUAAUAUUUUGAACCGCAUGGUUCAAAAGUGAAAGACGGUCUUGCUGUCACUUAUAGAUGGAUCCGCGCUGCAUUAGCUAGUUGGUAAGGUAACGGCUUACCAAGGCAACGAUGCAUAGCCGACCUGAGAGGGUGAUCGGCCACACUGGGACUGAGACACGGUCCAGACUCCUACGGGAGGCAGCAGUAGGGAAUCUUCCGCAAUGGGCGAAAGCCUGACGGAGCAACGCCGCGUGAGUGAUGAAGGUCUUCGGAUCGUAAAACUCUGUUAUUAGGGAAGAACAUAUGUGUAAGUAACUGUGCACAUCUUGACGGUACCUAAUCAGAAAGCCACGGCUAACUACGUGCCAGCAGCCGCGGUAAUACGUAGGUGGCAAGCGUUAUCCGGAAUUAUUGGGCGUAAAGCGCGCGUAGGCGGUUUUUUAAGUCUGAUGUGAAAGCCCACGGCUCAACCGUGGAGGGUCAUUGGAAACUGGAAAACUUGAGUGCAGAAGAGGAAAGUGGAAUUCCAUGUGUAGCGGUGAAAUGCGCAGAGAUAUGGAGGAACACCAGUGGCGAAGGCGACUUUCUGGUCUGUAACUGACGCUGAUGUGCGAAAGCGUGGGGAUCAAACAGGAUUAGAUACCCUGGUAGUCCACGCCGUAAACGAUGAGUGCUAAGUGUUAGGGGGUUUCCGCCCCUUAGUGCUGCAGCUAACGCAUUAAGCACUCCGCCUGGGGAGUACGACCGCAAGGUUGAAACUCAAAGGAAUUGACGGGGACCCGCACAAGCGGUGGAGCAUGUGGUUUAAUUCGAAGCAACGCGAAGAACCUUACCAAAUCUUGACAUCUUUUGACAACUCUAGAGAUAGAGCUUUCCCCUUCGGGGGACAAAGUGACAGGUGGUGCAUGGUUGUCGUCAGCUCGUGUCGUGAGAUGUUGGGUUAAGUCCCGCAACGAGCGCAACCCUUAAGCUUAGUUGCCAUCAUUAAGUUGGGCACUCUAAGUUGACUGCCGGUGACAAACCGGAGGAAGGUGGGGAUGACGUCAAAUCAUCAUGCCCCUUAUGAUUUGGGCUACACACGUGCUACAAUGGACAAUACAAAGGGCAGCGAAACCGCGAGGUCAAGCAAAUCCCAUAAAGUUGUUCUCAGUUCGGAUUGUAGUCUGCAACUCGACUACAUGAAGCUGGAAUCGCUAGUAAUCGUAGAUCAGCAUGCUACGGUGAAUACGUUCCCGGGUCU
rnacentral:rRNA from 1 species